rnacentral:rRNA from 1 species
UACGUAGGGCGCAAGCGUUGUCCGGAAUUAUUGGGCGUAAAGAGCUCGUAGGCGGCCAGUUACGUCCGCUGUGAAAUCCCGGGGCUCAACCCCGGGCGUGCAGUGGAUACGGGCUGGCUGGAGGCAGGCAGGGGAGAACGGAAUUCCUGGUGUAGCAGUGAAAUGCGUAGAGAUCGGGAGGAACAUCUGUGGCGAAGGCGGCCAUCUGGACCAGCACUGACACUGAGGCACGGAAAGCGUGGGGGAGCCAAACAGGG